AUUACAAUAUAUUCUUUUUAAAGCUUAAUUGUUUUAGAAAUACAUUUGUACAAAUUAAGUAACUUAAAAUUAUUCUGUCAAAGGAAGAUUGAAAUUAUUGAUAUAAUCCAAUUUUAUUAGUGCAUCCCUCCCUCUGGCUGUUUUUGGAGUAUGAUUCAGUAAUUCAGAAUGGCAAAUUUUAAUUAGUAUUAAUAGGAAAAGGGAUUGGUUGAUAUUCACCUGUUUGAAUCUCAUAUGCAAGUAGUGUAAUUAUAAUGUCAGUCAAAUCUGUGCUCUAGGAUUUCUUUAGAGUCUCUGAACACCCUGACAUUGUUUGUAAAAUAUGUAUGCACACGUGCACUUUUCAAGGGAAGGGAAUGGCUUCUGAUAGGUUGUUAAAAGAAUGUUGCCCAAAACGUUCAAGAACUUUUGCUGUACAUUUUACAGAACUAUGCAGAGACAGACAGGUCCACUUGUGAACUGUGGUAUAAUUACUGUCAGAGACAGACAGGUCCACUUGUGAACUGUAGUAUAAUUACUGUCAGAGACAGACAGGUCCACUUGUGAACUGUGGUAUAAUUACUGUCAGAGACAGACAGGUCCACUUGUGAACUGUGGUAUAAUUACUGUCAGAGACAGACAGGUCCACUUGUGAACUGUGGUAUAAUUACUGUCAGAGACAGACAGGUCCACUUGUGAACUGUGGUAUAAUUACUGUCAGAGACAGACAGGUCCACUUGUGAACUGUGGUAUAAUUACUGUCAGAGACAGACAGGUCCACUUGUGAACUGUAGUAUAAUUACUGUCAG
rnacentral:lncRNA from 1 species